AAAAUGCUCGAUUAAACAUAACUUCCGCGCACAGAUCCGUUGCUUCUCAGUAGCCUUUAACGUAAGUGAGGUUGUACCAUAGGAAGAAACAAAAGCUACUGGGAAAACAAAACAUGAAGACAGCAAUACUUCUCGGCUUGUGCCUCCUUUUGAUUCUUCAACAAAGCACAGUAGAAGCGCAAUGGAAUCGUCGACAAAGCAAUUCUAGAGAUGUCAGAGGGGGGAGAAGAACACAAGGUUCUGGUGGACCAUCAGGUACUGGUGGAGCAAUUAGUUUUCCAUCUCAGGACGACAGAAGGAGAGGCGGCGGCGGAGGAGGAGGAGGCUCGGACAGAAAUCUUCAUGCUGGAAAAUUUCCUGGAGGAUUCUAUACUGGUUCCAAGUCUUCAUAGAUAAGGCAUGUUUCAAACCACUACUCGACUAGGAAAGAAGAAAAAAAUGUAUUGAGACAACCUUCAAAGAAGGAAGAAGCUUUUCAAAAACCAAUAAUGUUGUAUUUAAAUUAAACACUCUGUAAAUAAAAAGAGUAUUUUUCACCUUUCAAA